rnacentral:rRNA from 1 species
AUGAGAUUUCUUUAAAGGGCCCCCGAAGACGACGGGGUCGAUAGGCCGCAGGUGCAGGGGCAGCAAUGUCCGCAGCCGAGCGGUACUAAUAGCCCGUAAGCUUAUGUAC